rnacentral:lncRNA from 1 species
CCGUUUGGUUGGCGGUAUAAGCGGGGAUAACGAAAGUUAUCCCCGCUAUUCCGCCAAAUGAAAUAAUUUUUAGCCGGGAUAUUUUAUCCCGGUCAAACCUUACUAUUCUCCGCUAUCCCGGAAUAGCUUGGGAUUUCAUAUUCCACCAUUUUGAUGGAAUAGUGCUAUUCCAAUGUUUAAUUUCAAACUUUAUUAAAAUUAUAAAUUAAAUUAAAACUAAAUUAUAUAAAUAUAAUAUGUUAUAUGUUAUAAUAUAUUAUUUUUCUUAUAAAAUUAUUAAUUGUACUAUAUUAAUAUAUAUUAUUUAUAUUUAAAUAUUAAAUAUUAUAAUAAAUUUUAUAAUAAAUUAUAUUUAAAUAUUAUAAAAUAUUAUUUUUAUUAAAUUUAAGUUUAAGUAGAAUUCUAAAA